rnacentral:rRNA from 1 species
UACGGAGGGUGCAAGCGUUAUCCGGAUUCACUGGGUUUAAAGGGUGCGUAGGUGGGCAGGUAAGUCAGUGGUGAAAUCUCCGGGCUUAACCCGGAAACUGCCAUUGAUACUAUCUGUCUUGAAUAUUGUGGAGGUGAGCGGAAUAUGUCAUGUAGCGGUGAAAUGCGCAGAUAUCAGGAGGAACAUCGAUGGCGAAGGCAGCACUCUGGUAC